UUCAGUCCCACAGUACUCUCCUCUCCUCUAUCCCUCUCUAUCCUUCUCACUGCUGACUCUCUCUCUCCCUCUCUCUCUUUUCACCACUUCGGCAGAUGCCAUUCUCUUUCUAUCUUUUGAGAUCCUAAGCCAUGGUCUUAAAGGUCGAGACGUGUCCAAUCUCGAUUGGGCUGUCAACGAGGUCUCUGCGCAUCAGUGUCGCACAGUGCUCCUCCUCCUCCUCCUCCUCCUUGCUCUUCUUCUGAUGAGCUGAACAUGGGAUGAUCUUUGUCAGUGUAACCCGUUCCUUGUUUUGGGCCCUUCUUUUGGGGAGGGAAACGAUCAGGUGCACGAGAGAACACGAGGGAGUACUACUCACUCUAGGAUUUGCUUCUUGCUUUCUGCCUCUUGAUUCUGUUGGUCUUGCCUCGAUCGAUACAACUCCAACGCUGCAAGAUUCCUCUUGUUGGUCCUCAAAUCCACCGCCCUUCCGAGGCUUCGGCCACCGGCGGCAUCGGUUUCCGCUCCUCGUGGAUCGAUCCCGGCAGUACUUGCUGCAGCGCCUUUCUUGUUCUCCGUUUCCUCCUCUCAUCUCCACGAAAUCCUCUUUCUCCUCCACGGGUCGGACAUGCAUGGGAUUCCGUAGCAGCAGCAGCAGCAGCCGGUGUUUGCGGCUGUGGCAUCAUCAAGAUUCACAAGGACCCGAUCCCCGUCCUCCUCCAUGAGAAUCUUGAUGAUGCUGCAUCGGCAAACAAGCGACUAAACAUACCACCACCACCAUUAGCUCCUGUCAUCGUCGUCGCGGUUAUGUGCGCAGAAGUAGAGAUUCAAACAAGUGAUAUCAAACUAUUGUGCUUUUUAGAAGGUAAUGACUCCUUUUCCUUUGCAAAGGAUUCGCAGAGAGCAGCAGAUUCUCCGAGCUUCGGUACUACUAAUGUAUUCUCUUUGUGAGAGUAUGAUUGCGAGCAACUGAUGAUUUGAUCAGGUAAUUUCUCCUUUCUUUCUAUAAGCUUAUGAGCAUGCAUUAAUUGCUUGGAUUUAUAUAUUGCUUAUGUGAAUUUUCACCUGCUUUAUUUAUGAUGAUAUCAUUCUCUUUGUGUUUCAUCUGCCUAUAUAGAGGAAGCUAUUGAUGCAUGAAAUAAAUUAGAGAAGCAGGAUAUAUGAUAACAUCAUGAACAACUUUGUUUCACUAUGAACAUUCUCAAAGAUGAUAGUGUGAUUGCUUUUUCUUUCCCCAAAAUACACCAAAAAUGGGUUCAGAUAUGGAGAUAUCAUCAUCCUGCCUACUUGAUAUGAUCCAAACAAAAACUUGGCACCUUAGCUACUUUUUUGGAGUAGCUUGAAGUAUCGGAAAAAGGCGAAAAACUACUAUGAGUUUUCAGCUCUAGUUUAAUUGAUAGAUCCCAUGAUCUACAGUUUGGUUAUCCUCCUGGAUGAACAAUGUAAUCUCUAACCUUCUCUCUAUUCUUGAUAAGAAUGCUUACAAGUCAGAUUGUCAAACAUGUGUAUUGUGCUAUACUCUCUCUUGCUUUGCUUUGUGAUGAACAGUAGUAGUAGUAGUACUUCUUUCCUUGAAGUCUUUUGGUACAAUUUGAGGAGCAAAUGAUUAUUGCAAAAUUCUUGCCAUGGUUAUGGUUAAAAUCACAUAAAUAGAUGGUUUCCUUUGACUUCCUUUGUACUUUUUAUUGCAUUUCUCUUUCAUUAUAUUUCUUUUCUGUGUGUUUUUCAUAGCUGAGAUGCACCACUAAUAUGUUCCUCAUUGUGAUAUUCUGGUUUGGGAAGGUAAAUCAAUACUAUGAUAUCUUAUGAAUGGUAUUUCAGUAUCUUUCUUCUCAGAAUUUAGAUUAAAUUGCACAAAAAUCAUUGAGUAUUUUAAGCUGUGAUAGAAUAAAUGCUGCAGUCAGAAAAUCCUUGGAUCCAAACUCAAAAUUUAGUGUAUGAAACAUGUAAGAAAAGCUAAGUGAACAGAUAGAUUCAAGAGGGAGGUAGAUUUUUUUUGUGUUUUUUUGAUGAUUGUGGUUCAAAAUGCUUGUCAUCUGAGAGGAGUGAAGGAGAGGAAUUAUGUUAGCCAUAACUCUGUCAUCAAUCACCCAUGCAGAUGGACCAAGCAGAAGGUACAUGUUGCUAGUUGUUGCUUGCAAAGUGGACCAAUCUUUAAGGACAUAAUGCAGAGAACUGUCUGGAAAUUAUGCUUCGGCUCCUCUCCAUCUAUGCACAUACAACAACAUGUAAGUUUAGGAGCCAAACACUUGCAGACUUCCCUACACAAUUCCACAAGAAAGAUACAAAACAUGUACAUCAUGUUCUUAUCCAAAAAGACUAUAUGCAAAACUGUGCCAACAUGUCAGAUUGAACUGAAGCUUCCAAGACAUUCACAAAGUCCCCUAAAUGUAUAAACAGGUUCUCUCAUUAAAGCCACCUGAAGGAAGACCUAACAAGAGUGUGAUGAGUUGAUACUUUUCAUGCAAAUUAGAAAUGUCCUCUUUGACAAAUAGUUAUAUGCUGAGGAUUAACAUACAUUUGUGUUUCUUCCUGUCUUUAGUAUCUUCUCUGUCAUAUUUCUUCUUAGAUUCAUUUUCUUAAAACAGUCUUUUAACUUGAAUUGUGCAUCCGAAAGAGAGGAGUCUUAACUA